AUAGGAACACAAAGAGCUGAAAUGUGUCGUUGCGAGCCUCGCUUGACAGUCUGAACCGGAAGUGACAACAGAAUAUCCCGGAGUAACGUCAAUAUGGGCAGCGUCAUUCAGUGCCACAUACUUCACCUCUCCGGUCGCAUCAGAGCUGAAGAAACUCUUCUGUAUGUGUGAAACUCACAGCGCCUUAUGUCGGCUGCCCUGAAUCCGAAGGAAGUGAAGUGCAGCUCAACAAUGCAGCUAACAAUUGCAGUUUCAACAUCAGAGUUCAAACUGAACGCCAGUCACCGUUUCAAAAUUAGAAAUUUCUUCGCUGGAGGUGAAUUCAAGAGCCCU